UUGUUCUUUUAAUUUUGCCAACAAAUGAUAUUUAAUAGUUUAAUGUAAUUUCAAUACUCAAAUUUGUUUAUUAAAACUGGCAUAUAGUUAUAGUAUGAUUUAAGAUUUAUAAUCUUUAUCAGAACCAAUUUAAAUACGUUUUCGGAAUUGAUUUGUGUUGGUUUGUUCAAGGUUAUGUUCGGAAAAGUUGUAUAGGUAAGAAGCUUUCCAUUUAGCACCUUCAAGCAAACGUGAGGAAUAAUUUCCUCAGUAGGUGGUAUAUUAUCGCAUAACUACUCCUAGCUGAUUUCUCGAGAGUCUUUAUAGUCUAGUGGAUAAGCUGGUGCGAGUCUGGUUCCGAUGUGCCAGGCUGGGUUCGAUUCCCGGUAUCGGCGAGACAACUUUUGGGUUCGAAUCCCAUAAGAUGUGUUUCCUCUUAUAACUGAUUAUAUAAAUGUUUAACCAGCUGCCAGCUGGCCAGGUAUAUUCACGGAUGAAGGAAUACCUCUAAGUAACUUGAUUGACUCGUUCUUCCAAAAUAUACCUAAAUCAACAAAAUACUUCACUCCAUAACAGUUCAUACAAAGCCAUGGGGUCGGUCCAAGAAUGCAUGUGAGCACAUACUUAGGCAGAAACUGCGGUGAAUCCGUGCACCCAUGGUGGAUAACCAACAUACAUAACUACUCCCAGCUAAACUCUCAACUUUCUCGGUGUCCAGGAAUCUACAUUUGCGAAGUUCCUGUGUGAAAUCUAUGAUUAGUGCAAAAGAAAUUAGGAAUAAGCAUUUAUUUCCAGUUGUCGAGUGUGAAGAAAAAAAGGUGUAACCGUUUCAUGUUGUUGCAAAUUUGCAACAAUUAAUAUUUUUGCUAAAUAACCGAAAUAUAUGAAAAAAAUAUUUUUUCAUUAUUUUUCCCUUCAUGUAUUCAUCAUUGCGCACUAUUGAGAAUUUUUUCGAGAAAAAAUAAAAAAUCAUGAAAUGAAGGGUUAAGUAUAAAUUGGUACCUUCGGUGAUUGCACACGGAUGAAUCGACUAUUCCUUCAGAUGUGGACGGGGUUUCAGAAUGAAUCGAUUUAGGAGUGAUUUUGCUUAAAGAGAAAUGUUCCGACACGUAUGUGAUCGCUUAUUUUCCUGAGAAUAAGCAGCUAUCCAAUCUUUUGGAAAAACUGUCUGAAACAUAUGUACAUCCGUCAUUUUCAAUCGGUUCUUGAUUAAGGGGGAGUCAGGAAAAUGCAGAUUCUGAAAAAUCCGUCAAGAAGCUGAAACGUGAUCGAUUAUAUGAUCGAAAACCAAAAACGGUACAAAAAUGAAAAUGAAACCGAAAAUUGAAAAAAAACUCGUGUGUAGUGUGCUUCAAGGUCGUUAAAUCGUUAAACUCUUCCUCAAUAGAAUAAGUGAAAACAAGUCUGAACAAUAUAAGGUCUGUUUAUGGAAAAAAGGUGAAGAAAAAAAAAAGUUAAAACAAAUUUUAAGGGAAACUUCUUUGUUUGCACCCUAAU